UACGGAGGGUGCAAGCGUUAUCCGGAUUCACUGGGUUUAAGGGGUGCGUAGGUGGGUUGGUAAGUCAGUGGUGAAAUCUCCGAGCUUAACUUGGAAACUGCCAUUGAUACUAUCAGUCUUGAAUACCGUGGAGGUCAGCGGAAUAUGUCAUGUAGCGGUGAAAUGCUUAGAUAUGACAUAGAACACCAAUUGCGAAGGCAGCUGGCUACACGAGUAUUGACACUGAGGCACGGAAGCAUGGGGAGCAAACAGG
rnacentral:rRNA from 1 species